AUCCAGCACGAGGACUACGCACAUUUCGCCAUCUUUAUUGUGGUUAUGGAUGUUCUCUUCUCCUCCUGGCCUCUUUAGUCUUGAAAAAUAUGAUCCUUUUGGGUCUGCGCUAACCUUUUGCACUUAAGACGAAGCAGGAUAGAAGAAAAGAAUUAGAACAGCACCCCACUAGUUCAGCCACAACUACCUCACGUUCUGGUUUGCCCUCACUCAAGAUGGCCACCAGCGAAAUGGUGCAAUGACGUGACAUCGCUGCCCUGGUUGCCAAGGAGACGUGAAUACCGGAAAUGCGGAAUUCGGGGAGGGCGCGCGCGCGCGCAAGAACUGUAGGCAACGGCCUCGGCGUCACAGGUCCUGACAGGGAAGAAGUUGGCAGGUCCUGACAGGGGAGAGCUGUGGCGGCAUCACCUCCGCGUACAGACUGUUCCAGUGGGAUGGAAUCGCUAGUCGUGGACGCCGGGACCAGCGAGACUGAGCUAGCCCCUGGUGGGAGUGUGGUUGUUGGCCGCACUACUUCGGAGCCUGCAGUCUCGACGCCCCUGGGAGCCGCCCGGUGGAAGCUCCUGCGGCAGGUUCUGAGGCAGAAGCACCUGGAUGAUUGCCUGCAACGUGUAUCUGUAAGAAGAUUUGAAUCAUUUAAUCUGUUUUCAGUAACAGAAGCCAAGAAAACAGAAAUUGAAGGGGAGGCUGGUGCAUGGGUCCAAUAUACAAGUGUCUUCUAUCCUGAAUAUAGUAUUUCCUUAAGACAGAAUCAUGGAUCCUUGAAUGUUGAAGAUGUUCUUACCAGCUUUGACAAUACAGGAAAUGUCUGUGUCUGGCCAUCAGAGGAGGUUUUGGCUUACUACUGCCUCAAGCACAGAGAUGUUUUCAGGGACCUUGCUGUGUGUGAGCUAGGGGGUGGCAUGACAUGCUUGGCUGGGCUCAUGGUUGCUAUUUCUGCAGAUGUCAAAGAAGUUCUGUUAACUGAUGGGAAUGAAAAGGCCAUCAGAAAUGUGAGAGACAUCAUUGCAAGGAAUCAGAAGGCUGGUACAUUUAAGACUCAGAACAUUUCAAGCAGCGUUUUACGAUGGGAUAAUGAGACAGAUGUCUCUCAACUGGAAGGACAUUUUGACAUUGUUAUGUGUGCUGACUGUCUGUUUCUGGACCAGUACAGAGCCAGCCUUGUUGAUGCAAUAAAGAGAUUACUCCAGCCCAUGUGCUGGGGAUUGAACCCAGGGCCUUGUGUUUGCAAGGCGAGCACUCUACCAACUGAGCCAUCUCCCCAGUCCCAGAAGGACAUUCUAAGCCUUAGAAGAAGAGGACAAGAAGUAGCUUCCCUGGUGGAAGGGAAAAGCAAUGGUGUUCGCCCCACUCCGAGGGAAUACUUUAAACCAGUUUUGCAAUCUAGCUGAAAAAGCUGGUUUCUCUCUCCAAAAACAUGAAAAUUAUGAUGAACACAUUUCAAACUUCCACUCCAAGUUGAAAAAGGAAAACCCGGAUAUCUAUGAAGAAAACCUUCAUUACCCCCUUCUGCUUAUUUUAACCCAAAAUGGAUAGAAGAGUACGCUUCUCAGAAGACGAAGGAAACACUGAAUGCACAAGGAAUAAUUUUAUGAAAGCAGAAAUCUGCAAUGGGUGUAAUAUGCAGCAAGCCGUUGGUUCCCUGAGAUUUUUGAGUGGGUCCCAGGACUCGGGCCCUCACCCACUCUUUGACAUUCCACCUAUGGGUUCUGUGUUAUGGACUCCUCCCAAGCUAACCCACAUUACUCCCUAGCCAUCGCACCUGUCUCCUUCACCUCUUUUUACAGUCUGCUUGUUGCUUUUCCUGUAUCAAACCUUUGUUUGUCUUUAAAUAUGUAUAAGCACCCUGUCUGAGAUUUGAAUUUGACUUGUGAGCAACCUAACCUUCUGAAACAGAAUUUCUUUUGGUGAUUCUUUCCCCCACUCCUUUUUUUUUUUUUUUUUAAAGGUCUUUGUUCUGUUUUGGUGAUGAUAGUUUUUAAUCUGUAAACAUAGUAAACAUCAUAAUUCUUUCCAUAAAAAAAAAGUACAUCUUUCUGAUCUCCCUCUAAUAAAUUGUAUUAAAUUUGC